rnacentral:lncRNA from 1 species
UUAUUUUAUUUAAUAUUGCAGAUAAAAUAUAUUAUUUAUGGCCAAAAACGUUAUGAGUAAAAAAAAUUAUUUGAUUUGAGAGAUUAAUUUUAUUUGUUGUAAAAAAAUUGGAAAAACUUUUUUUUUAAAGAAAGGAAAUUGGAAAAACUUUAAAUAUUAUUUAUGUGGUUUUGCACUUUAUUACUUUAGUGUUCUAUUGUUUAAAAUGUAUCACUUUCAUACUCUGUGGUUUUUUUUUUUUUCGUUAUCCCCUCCAUCAAUUUUUUUGUUAAAUUAGUCGUAAAGUUAAAACCAUAUGAUACUAAAUAAAAAUUUGGUAAACCGCAAGGUACAAAAAUAAAUAUUUGGUGAACCAUAGGUAAAAUAUCUGAAGUUUUUUGUAUAUGAUUUAACAAAGAGUUAAUAAAAGCGUUGACAAAAAAAAAAAACCAAAGUGUAUUAAAGUGAUACACUUUUAACUCAUAGAGUACUAAAAAACCACAUAUAUGACAUUUGAAGUUGACCCAAAAAAUUUAUAUAUCUUUCCUAAAAGUCCCUGAUCUACUUUGUUGGAAGAAGACAUGGGAAGGUCUGUGAACCGCGCUUUGAAUUUUCAUAGACCAGGUAUAUGCUCCUGGUCCAUACGACAGUUCCUCCAUGUUUAAGUUGGCUCCUUUUCCCCUCCUACUCAUGGACUCCUCAAACACGACGACGACCACCACCGCCACCUCUCCCUUCCCCUUCUCCUCCCUCAUCCCGACCAUGUACUCCACCUCAAACCCUAUCCCUAACCCUAACCCCUCACAUCCAUGGCGACUCCUACCCCCCACCUCCUCCUCCGCCGCUCCUCCGCCCCCUUCCACCUCGCCCAAGCCCACGCUGCGCUCCUCAAAGCCGGACUCGCCCACCGCCGACGCUUCCUCUCCAAGCUCGUCUCCCUCCUCGCGCUCUCCCCGCACGGGAGCCUCCCCCACGCGCGCGACCUCUUCGACUCCGCCCCGCCCCGGCUCCAGUCCCCGCCGCUCUUCGCCGCGCUCAUCCGCGCCUACGCCUGCGGCCGCGCCUUCGCCGAGUCCCCGCUCCCCGAUUUCCCCCGUAAGGGCGCCGAGCUCCAUUGCCGCGUCGUCCAUCUAGGGUUUGCGUAUGACCCAUUUGUUCAGAACUCCUUAAUCUUCAUGUACUCGAAAUGCAGUAACCUCCACGACGCGCGGAAGGUGUUCGGCGAAAUGGCCGAGAAAACCCUGGUCUCGUGGAACGCCAUGAUCGCCGCGUACGACCGAAGCGGCGACCGGGCGGCAGCGGAGCGGCUCUUCCGGGAAAUGCCUGAGAGGAAUGUGACGUCGUGGAACAGCAUGAUAGCCCGGCAUGUGCGAGCAGGGGACACGCGUGCCGCGCAGAUGUUGUUCGACGAAAUGCCUGAAAGGGACGCAAUCUCGUGGAACUCCAUGAUCGCGGUGUAUAUUCGCGCUAAGAAUCACAAGCGAGCUCUAGAGCUUUUUCGCCAAAUGCAAGCUAAUAAUAUCAAGCCUACGGAGCUUACGCUUGUUUCAGUUCUUGGGGCUUGUGCCGAGACCGGUGGGUUAGAGAUAGGGAAGGAGAUUCAUAAUUAUUUAGAAAAUAACCACAUUACAAUUGAUGGGUAUGUGGGUAAUGCUUUGAUUGACAUGUACUCAAAGUGUGGUAGCUUGAAGCUCGCAAGAAAGGUGUUUGAUGAGAUGCCUAUGAAGCAUGUUACUUGCUGGAAUUCAAUGAUCACAGGUUUGGCGGUUCACGGCCAUUGCGAAGAGGCAUUUGACCUUUUCGCCUCCAUGGUGAGGGAGCUGAAUGGUGUCGCGGAACCAAACCGUGUCACAUUUCUUGCGGUUUUAAUUGCCUGUACCCACAAGGGUUUGGUGAAGGAGGGGCAAAUUUAUUUCGAUCGAAUGGUUAAUGAGUAUAAGAUAGAGCCUGAUAUAAAGCACUAUGGUUGCAUGGUUGAUUUGCUAAGCCGAUGUGGUAUGGUUGAAGAAGCUUAUCAGAUGAUUAAGGAGAUGCCCGUCAAGGCCAAUUCGGUGAUGUGGAAAACCGUGUUGGCAGCUUGUCGAGUACAUGGGAAUGUGGAGUUGGGAGAGAAAGCAUUUAAGGAGCUUCUUGAAAUGGAUUCCAUGGGAGAUGAUGUAGUUACGAUGUCGAACAUAUAUGCAGAAACUGGCAGAUGGGGUGAUGUCAAGCGUUUGAGAAGUAGGGUGACAGGUUGUAACAUUUGGAAGCAAGCGGCUUGUAGUCAGAUCGAGCUGUUGCAUUGAAGUGGGCCACUCUUAAGGUUGUUUUUCUCUGCUGGAGCUUCUGUAAAAGUGUCGUUUGAGUAGAAUUGCACGAAGAAGUCAUUAUAAUUUCAUUAAUCUCUUUUAAUUGCUUCUUGCUGCAGCUAGAAGCAAAAUCUUCAAAUAUAAGCUUAUGUGUUCUGAGACUAGAAGCUUGUUUCUGCUUCUUACCACGGCUAGGAGCUCUGGGUCAUUAGUUUGGUCAACACCUAGCUUCUGCUUCAUGAAUGAAGCUGUAUAGUUGCACGAGUCAACCACUCCAUGGUACAGAAGACAGUUAUGUAGUUCAUUGGUUCAAGAAACGACUAUACAGAAGACUUUUUAUAAGCAUUUACGAGCAUAUCCUCCCUUGGUGAAUCUAACUCAGGAACCAAUGUUGAGUACUUACGCUUCACGAUACAGGUUGAUGCAGAUCUCUGCUUUUGCGGAAUGGUUUUUUCAGCUUUUGCUAUUUUCUCCAGCUUAACGGCUCUUAAGUGCUGAAGAUGAUUUUGUGGACUAGAGCUGCGAAAGGCGCUUUUCAUUGGAGCUUGUUAAAUCAAUGUAUAUAACUGAUCUGUUUUUGCCAAAUAGUUGGCUUCUUCAAUUGUAUGGAGAAAGAUAGAUCUAUAGACGCAAUAUUUGGCUUAGUUCCUCUGAUAUGAAUCAGUAGAUACCAUCACUGCUUGCAUUGCUUGCUGUAAACUUCCAUUCCAGUGGGAACUAAAGGAUGUGAUGCUGCUGCUUCUGUAGAAUACUAUUGUUUGUGAUUCUAUUGUUUUAUUCGUAUCUUUUCUGCGCAAAUACUAAGAAGAUAUUAUAAUUGAAGAGCGUGAAAACAAAGUCAAGGAGCAUUUUGCCAUUUUCCUUGUGUAUGAACUUUUGACAUUUUCUCAGAAUGUACCCUAGAAUAUGUUCCCCCACUUGGUUAAGUCAUACACAAUGCGACUUUGACCUAGUUUACCCAUCCCAAGCCCUUUUCCUUUUGUUUAUUAAUUAUCAAAUUCAUGAUGUUAUAUUUAUAUUUAUGGGCAACUUAAAACAAAGAGGGAUGAGUUUUAUAUUUGUCCCUAAAUUUUUUUGGGUAAUUUCAGAAAAAAAAAUGUUUUCAACUUUUCUAUCUGUUCAUGUUAAGUCUCUGUGUUUUCACAUUUUUCUUUUGAAAAGUCCCCAGGGAAUAAUGGAAUAUCUUUCAUCAAAAAUCCAAACUGUAUUGUAUCGCAACUUGUACGGUUUUGACUUUUAAAUUUGAUAAAUAUGCAUAUAAAAAAGUUUUUAAAAAUAAAAUAUUGGUCGUAUGUGAUGCUCACAGUAAUAAUAAAUCUACAAAAUUAUGGACAAAAGUUAAGUUAAGAUUGCUAAUAAAUGAAGUCCCCACAUUAGAGGAUGAAGGUCAACGCCGUGAUUUGAGCAAUUAAAAGAAAGUUUCCAAUGCUUUACCGCCGAUUUAAAAUCAGAGGUUAUCUCUUAUGUUCCACCAAAAAUUAUAGGUGCAUUUAAAACAUUAUAAUUUUAUUUAUUUAAUAGUGGAGCUAGGCUGCUGCUGUACUAUCAGUAGUAUAGAAGCUUCUGUACUACCAAGUUGUUUUUAAUGAUGCGGCUUCCGAAUCAACGAUCGUUUUUUUAGAUAUGAUCUACGCUGUUGAAAAUAUUUAGAAAUCAAAUUUUAUUUUUUUUCGACAUUAUUUUACAAGUGAUCAAAAUAUUUCAAAAUUGAUAAUUUUAAUGACUGAUGUGUUGCGUUUAUAAAUUUAACGGUGUAAAACAAUUCAAAUAUGAUGAAAUUUUUAUAGAAAAUUUUCUUUACUAUUUAAAGUAAGAUCAGUACUUCUAAUCUUAAAUUCAAAUCUUUUAUCAUUAUUUUUUAUGAAAUUUUUAUUUUCAAUCGUUUAUUUUUAGACUACUCGUUUAAUAGGUAAAUGAUGUAAAAACUUAUAAAUUUUAGUUUUUUAAUACGUUCAAUAGCGUAGAUCAAGUACAACGUAACCGAUUGUCGAUUUGAAAUUCGCAUCAUCGAAAAUAAAUUGAUAGCAUGAUGGCCUCCGUACUACUGAUAGUAUACUGACUGAAUUCGAAAGUUUAAAGGGUCUCUUGGAAAUUUUCCCCAAAUUACGAGCUUAUCAAAAAAAAAAAAGUAAAAAUUAGUGGACCAAAGUGAAAUUGUAGUGAAAGUUCUAAGUGGUAAUGCAAUUUGACCGGUUAUAGGUCGGCGAGGAAAUUGGAAUGGAAUUUGUUUUCCCCAAAACUUGCGAUGGGGGGACUUAAUUCGGAUCGGGUGGAAUUAAUUCGACCCGGAGAAAGUUGGUGGACGUUCUCACACCCAACGUUGACCAAAGCCCCCGAAAGUUGACUUUUUUUGCCUAAUUAGACUUUAAAAAAAAAACGAAAAUCAUUUCCCUUAAUAUUAGGCUCGAGAUUUAUCGCGGGAUUCGUAGCAUCUCUAUUCCCAAAAAACAAAAAAGAAAUAAAAAAUCAAAUCAAAUCAAAUCAAAUCACACUCCCAUCUCUCUUCUUCUUCUUCUUCUUCUUCUUCUUCUCCAUCUACCCCAACACACACGCCUCGGGUCAAUGCGGUGCGAGGAGCGGUAGAGGAAUCGAGGGCUCUUCGGCCACCGAAUCCACGUUGGGGAAGCGAUUCCCCCGAUCGCGGGGCGGAAAAGCUCGGUUUUGGUGGGAAAAAGGGGGAGGAAAAGCUCGUCUUUUUGAGCUGUCGAUAGCUUCGGAUCCGAGAGCGCGAAGGAGCUUUUUUGGAUGAGGGAUCUCCGACCCCCCGGAUCUACGUACGAGAAGCGCUUCUUUCGGUUGCGGUGUGGAAAGCUCGAUUGAGGUGGGGAAAAGGGGCGAAAAAGCUCGCCUUUUGAGCCUUCCCUUUGCUGGAUCCGAGAAAUUUGAGGUAAAAGAGCUUUUUCAUGGGGUUUUAGGGUUUCUCGGGGGUUUCUGAGAAAACCCAGAUGGGGGCGUGCCCUGAUUGGCGCCUGAUUCGUACUGUUUAGGGUUUCCGAACCCCUCGAUUUAGGGUUUUUGUGGCGUUCAUCUGAUGAGGAUGGAGGAGAAUGCGGCGCUCCACACUAUACAGAGCUCGAUCCAAGCGUUGGGGAGGGGAUUCGACGUCAACCACGACACGAGGCUUCUAUAUUGCAAAGGGAUCGCGGGGUCUCGGCUAAUUGAGGUGGAUGCGCACGCUAGGGAUUUGGCGGUGUUCGAUGGCGUGGUUGUGCCCAAUGUGUCGAGGGAUGUGAAGUGUUCUUAUGAUAGUGGUGGAAGAGAGGGAACUGGUGCUUGUAGUUUCUAUGAGGUGUGGUAUAACUGUUACUAACUAAUUUCCCUUUGCUUUCUCACGUUAAAUUUGGUAUUUAAUUUGCAUUGGAGAUAGUUGUGCUUUCCCUUCGAAUCAGACAUUUGUAGUUUAUUGUGUAGUUGGUGAAAACAAAUUUAUAUUGUUUAAUAUGUGUUGUAGGAGGUUUUAAUUGGUUAUGGUAUCUAGUGAAGGGUGUGAUUGUUAGGGUGAUUAGGGAUUUUAGGUUCUUGAAGAUCGAGAACUGCUUCUCUUGUCCUGGUUGUUGGUUCUCUCAGAUUAAGCUUUUGUAGUGCUUUACAUGGUUAGGUCAGAAUUAACUAUGGAGGUACUUGUGUAUUUUGACCUCUAAACUAUGAGAUCUGAUCGCCCAAACUAGAGUGGAAGUCAUGCACUUAGUGUAUUGAGCGUUUUGCAUGUAUUACAUAUUGUUCUAGUUUGAUUAGAUAUUAUGUAUUUUAGAUUCAUAGAGAGCUAAUUAAACCUCAUUUUAAGUUAUAAGUAUGUGUUAGAUUAUCUAUAAUCCUUGUACUCAUAUUAAAUUGGCUAUUCUACUGGAGUUUUUCUAUUGAAAAAUUAGUCAUCAAUAUGUAGAAAUUUCUACAAACCAUGGAAAUAAUGCUAAAACAUAAUGGUUUUAAGUGUUUACCAUCUCCAUUGUGUGCAAUAUAUCAAUGCAAACUCAUUAUUUUGCUGAGUUUAUGUGACGAUUCGGCUUCUGUGUAUCAAAUCUUAGAGCUCAAAUUGAAGUAGUAAAUUGGAGCAAAUCAAGUUUACUUACAAUACAAGUGCCUGCAGAAAGGAUGUAAUGAAAUAAAUGGAUUUUCAGUGGUUGAUAUUUUAAAGUUGCAGAUUGCUAGUAAGUAGUAAGUAAAACCUAAUCAUAGGAAGCUAUGCUAUUUGUUGCCAUUGAGAUGUAUCGUAUACAAUAUUGAAGUGCAAACAAACUGUAGUUAGGGCAUUUGGGUGCCUCGUAUGAUUUAUUUGACAUAUGGGAUAUUGUUUACUGGUGCUUUUAUGGCAGUAAUAACUUCCUUGCAUUGUCAUAUUACGGGGACCUGUUUGGAUGUCGGAACAAAUUUUAUAGUGCCAAAUUUUCACAAUUAUGGAGAUUUCUUUUGUGACUGCAACCCAAUAGCUUGAUUUUCAAUCCAUUGUGAGCUUCCUUUAAAAUUAUAUCCCUAUGUGCAUUCUAUCAUGAUUCAUAACAAGCUUUAAUUAACAAACCUUGAGAUUGAUUUUAGUUUUUCAGCUGUUAAUUUACUUCUAUCAUUCCAAAAAGAAUCCGGUUUAAUGAUUAUGUUAUUUACUGUUAUAGUAACGCAGGUUUGAUUAUAUAGGUCACCAAUUCUCAUUAUUUUCUCAUUUUUCCCUUGGUAAGCGACCGCAGAUGGCAGAAUAUUUCAAUAGAAAGGCUAAUCUAUCAGGGAACAUCCCCCUUGGAUGCUUCAAUUCUGCAUUUAGCUUCACAGGAUUGAAGAAAACUGAUGCUGCAUCUACGAAGAGCCUCGCCAUGGAUGGGAAGUUCAUCCCUUUAUGUAAAGUUCAGAUUAUAAAGCAAUCCCUAACAUUGAAAGAAGAGGUGAGGCGUGCUGUGCCACUUUCAUGGGACCCAUCAUCUUUAUCAAGGUAAAGAUGCAGAUUUUUCUGCAAAAGUAAGCAAGUUAUGUAAUGGAGCACCUUGAUAAUUUCAACUUGUAUACAGGUUUAUUGAGAAUUAUGGCACUCAUAUUAUUACAUCCAUUACUAUCGGUGGUAAGGAUGUAAUCUAUGUCAAGCAGCACAGUUCGUCGCCUUUGUCAGCCAUGGAAAUUAAAAAUUACGUACAAGACCUCGGAGAGCAGAGGUUCUCUGAAAGCGAGAGCCACACGAGCUCAGGUCCAAUGAAAGUGAAGGAUAAGGCUAGUGCUUUUGUGCUAUUCUCUUGGAAGUUGCUCACGAGCAGUAUAAUUAGCAUAUGUUGCUGUUAUGUCCCUCUGACUAUUUGCUGCUCAUGGUUUGCCAGGCUGUGGAUCCUUUCGUAUUCAACAGCCAGGGAGUAUAUCCGCAACCUCCUAACACGCCGUAUCUUACCGCAAAAGAGGCAAGUGAAACAUCUUCUCUUUUAUUAUCUACUUUUGUGUCUUAAUACUCCAAUGAUUAAAGAAGUGCAAACAAGUCCUACAUGCUGGUUGACAUAUGAGUCUAGAAAUAAGGAAUAUAGGUUGGAGGAGGAGAAUUACUUUUGUUUCUUCAUUUUACCCUCUAUAUUUGAAACCUUACACACAGUUUGGACUAUGAAAUUUCUCUUGGGGGACAUUGGCAAUUUGGUGAUGCUUCCAUUAUUUAACAAUGUUUAUGACUUCUUUCUUAGCUUUGGUCCCUUUUGGAUACAACGCUAAUGAUCAGACAAGAUUACUACAGAUUUGUUUGUAGGCCUAGCUAGAGCAGCUGUAGAAGUGCUGUUUAUGAAGAGUAGCUGCUCGAAAUAGCACUAGCAUCCUUUUCAUUUAAAUAAUAAAAUCUCCGCAACAGCUUAUUGCUGUAGCAGAAGUGAAAACUUCAAAUUGCUGUUUCUGUAUCGCUUCAGCAAAAGCACCAAUUCUUUGGUUUGCCAAAUACCUGGUAGCAGCUAGCUUAUCUGUAUCAGAAGCUAGGUGCGAUGGGCAUUAAGACUGAUAUUCAGCACGGACACUUCUAUAAGCCUCACGUGUCCGUGUCGGACACGUGUCCUAUGUGGACACUUUUCGAACGCCCGUUUAAUAUUUAUUCAUAGUGCAUACAACUAAAAAAAUAUAUACCUAUUUUUAUUUUACUUUUUUUUAUACAUAUGUAAUGUAUGAUAAUAAAUAUUUUAGCUUUUUGAUGAAUACAUAUAUAUAUUUUUUUUGACAAUAUAAAUAAAUUAUCUAUGGUGGAGAAUUUUUUUCCUUAAAAUAUAUGAACUAUCAAUAAAAAUUUUACUAAUUUUCAUUCGUAUGAGAAAUAUAACAAUAUUUUAUCCAAAUUAAUAUUUUAUAUAUAAUAAAAUAUAUUAUUAUAUUAAUAAUAUUAUAUUUUAUUAGCGAUGUUUAUGUCGUGUCCGUGUCCUAAUUGUUUGAAAGUUGCCGAGUCGCGGUGUCUAAGUCAUGUCGUGCCCCGUGUCCCGUGUCAGUGUCCGUGACGCCUAGAUAUUCAGCCAUGAGGCCAGAUGAUAAGAUGCACUACUAAGCAUGGCAGGAAGUAUUUUGCAGUUAAACUAUCCAUUGUAAAGCCCUUCAUAUCAAGUGAUUAAUACAUUAGGACUCUGAGAAUCCUAAUUUACUGAAUUACAUGCUAGGUUUUAUUCAAGUAUUCUAUUUCAAGGAGGAGAUUUUUUUUUUAAUAUAUUUCCUGUUUUCAUGUCAUUGCAAAUUAUGGUCUUGACGAGCAGACAGAAGCAUGUGCAUUGUUUUUGCCCUCCAUCAUUGAAACUCUGCUCGAUACCUCCUGUAAACAGAAGAUACCAUAUCCGAUGAUAGAUUUUAUGGCUUAUAUUAUACUAUCUGCUACUCGCCAUUUGUAUUGGUUUGAUUAUCAAACAAAGUUAUGGUAGGCUGAAUGAGAGACUCCUGUAAAGUUUGCUGUUUUCAUGUUUAGUUUGUUACGAUAUCUAUAUGAAAACAGUUGCUUAAGACGAUAUCUAUAUGAAAACACUUGCUUAAGCCUCUCAACUAAUGAUGCGAUUUUGAAAUGUCCCUAUAUUCUGAUGAAUUUACUUAUGCAGGAUGUAACAGUAAUUUUCAGAAGAAGGGGAGGUGACGAUCUAAUUCAAAGCCACACUCAUUGGGCAAGAACCAUCCGUUCAGCACCCGAUGUUAUUGAUAUGACCUUCUUUCCAAUCACUUCUCUACUUGAAAGGGUGCCUGGAAAGGACCAUCUUAUCCGUGCUAUCAACCUUUACCUCGAAUGUAAUGUACCGCCAUAGUUGAUAUACGCUCUAGAUCAAAAUCUAUAACUAGACUCUGAAUUGUUCUAUUGGAUUCUGCAGAUAAGCCCCCAGUUGAGGAGCUAAGAUACUUCUUAGAGUUUCAGGUUCCUAGAAUAUGGGCCCCAGUUCAAGAUGGGCUUCGAGGACAGCGAAGAAAAGAGCCAGUGUGCCCAUCUUUGCAGUUCAGCAUAAUGGGAAAGAAGCUAUAUAUCAGCCAAGAACAGGUACGCAGCAUCGAGAAUGGAAUGUCGGCCUUGAAAACUGGCUAAUACCUUUUUCUCGAAAUAUAUUUGAGCCAGAGGUGUUUUAUAAGAGACGGCUAUAAAAUCUCAUUAUGAAGAUGAAAUGGCGUAGACAAAGCACAAGUAUCACUUCUUUUAUUGUUUGUCAAUCAUCCGGAGGGCUGAAACGAAAGCACAUGUGAAUGAUAAUGUUGGACUAUUUAUUUGAAAAUUUUGCGCUGUUAGUGACAGAUGUCCUGUAGUAUCAUAAUUUUCGUGUUAGAAAAAAAAUAGCAAAAUUGACCUUCCUUUUCUGGACGUUUCCUAUUGCACUAAAACCUUCAAUAUGUGCAGAAUAUAUAAUGCCGCCACUGUAUUUUGCGGAUUAUUAAUUCUGUACCACAGAAUCAUUAUUAUCUAUUUUUUUUCCUUAGUAAAUCUUCAUUUUGCAUAAUUUACAUGGACUCUGCGGAUUCUUAUUUCCACAUCUAGUCUUAUGCUUCUUUUAUAACUAAAAAAAGUAACUUCUUCAGGUAACAGUUGGGCGAAAACCAGUCACUGGACUAAGACUCUGCUUGGAAGGCCCAAAACAGAACCGACUAUGCAUACAAGUGCAGCACUUAUCGACCCUACCCAAGAUCUUCCAACCCUACUGGGAUGCCCAUGUGGCGAUUGGCGCACCAAAAUGGCAAGGACCCGAGGAACAAGACAGCCGAUGGUUCGAGCCUGUUAAGUGGAAGAACUUCUCCCAUGUCAGCACGGCUCCGGUUGAAUACCACGAGUCCUUCAUCGGCAACACCUCCGGCGUAUACGUAGUCACCGGGGCUCAGCUUGGAGUGUGGGAUUUCGGUGCAAAGAAUGUCCUUUACAUGAAAUUGUUAUAUUCUAAAGUACCUGGAUGCACUAUUAGGAGAUCAUUAUGGGACCAUAGCCCUACUGCUGCUGCUGCUACACCUACAAUUACCUUGGACGACAAACCUGAAUCUGGCGACUCGAGCUCGAGCUCGAGUUCAGCGGAUGCGGGCAGGUUGCUGAAGUUUGUGGACAUGUCGGAGAUGUAUAAAGGGCCGGACGAUAUACCCGGGCACUGGUUGGUGACGGGCGGGAAGCUCGGUGUUGAGAAAGGGAAGGUUGUUUUGAGAGUUAAGUAUUCUUUGUUGAACUACUGAAACCAGUUUGUUUUACGGGUGUUGACGGUUGUUGUGCAUUUUGCAUGUAUAUUAUGGAAAAAUUUGCUUCGAUUAAAUUUAGUGAGUCGAAGAUUUGAUUUUCCCCACAAGCAUUUCUCAUAGUUAGUUGAUCAAGCUUCCUUUUCUGGAGUGCUCAGCAAGGCCUAGGGAAGUUGAGGUUCCUGAAUAAUUUAUUUCCUGUAGGAGUUAUGGUACAAGUACCUCACAAGGGACAUCAAAAUUCAGUUCCUGACAAGUAGUUGGUUCAGCUUUUAAGUUUCCCACAUGGCGCAUAACAAGGACAUCGAUUUGGAAAAAGCUAAACCUGUCACUUUUGCUACGUGCGCAAUAUUGAUUCAUCAAUUAUAUUUUGAAGUGCUUUUCGACUGUACUGGUGCCAUUACUCUUCUGGUGAAGUAUGUUGAUUCAGAUUCAGCGAGAGGCUACCGACACUUUAGCAGUAAUCCAUGGUCCUCAAAGUCCUUGCCUUAAACUGUAUAAUAUCUCUGUGCCAUAGUUUCAAACUAGGUUAAUUGUUGUUCCUGUAGGUUUCACAUCUUAUCUUUUUAGUUUGCAGUAUUUUGUUAGUGUUCUAAACCAGCUGAGAAUAAGUUCUGUUAUAGUAAAUUAUACAGUUAGUCUCUGACCUUUUGGACGAAUUAAAAUUUGAUUUCUGAUCUCUAAGUUGAACCGAUUAAUUCGUGAUCCUAGUCUUUCUCCAUGAUUAGAGAUGAACUGUAAGCUCUAAUUUGUCCUGUUAGGGACCAAAUUAAAGCAAUUAGGCCUGAUAUCUAGUUAUCUAUGGAGGGCCCUGUUAUUUUCAUUCUGAUGUUUUAGGUCUAUAUUUGACCCAGCAACUGCUUCCAUAGAAAGUGAUGCUUGGAUAGAGUUUCUCAAAAAGUCCAAUGUUACAGUUGGAUCUACCAAACUGCUUGCUGUUAAGCUGGAAGAGCAACAGCUUAGGCAUUCAAAGUUAGAGAUUUUGUUUUCAAGACUCCAUUUCGCCCGACAACUCGAAUCUUUGUUUGCAGAACGCAUUAUUUUUACUUCUUAUAUACAAAACACAUUUUACAAAAUGUAACAUACACCGAUAUGAAGUGAGGAAAAAGUUUUUAUCAGGCACAUUUUUUUCACUAGCACUCAUCCCUACUGUAAGAUAUUAAUCUGGCAGCGGAAAGGAAUGCGUCUAAUAAAGAUGCAUCUGGAGAUUUUGCUUUGCAAACUCAAUUCAUCCGACCAUUCAGAACAUUAUCUCUCAAAUAUUUUGCUUUUUGCUUCUUAUAUACGAAAGACAUUUUGCAUAUCGAACAACUAAACAAAUACCUAAGUUUUUAAUCAGAAUCAUUGUUUUUCACAAGCAUCCCGUCCUACUGCAAGAUAUUAAUCUGGCAAUAGAAAGGAAUGCACUUAUUAGAGAGACAAGUGCUUUUCACCAUGUAUUUUACCACUGUGGGAGACAAAGCAAACCAAAAUGGCAUCUCACACCCAUAUUUACAUCAACACCUUUUAAUAGAAGAAUCAUAUACAUAUAACAUAUUCAAAUAUUCCAAUUAAAAUAGAACUCUCACACCCCACAAAAGUACUACAACACCAUCAUAUCCCCACAAGCAUCUCUCACCCAUGUGAUGAGAAGUGGGGGAGCUACAAACAAUGACUAAAAUAAAAUCUAAUAAUAAGAUGUCCUUGGCACCUUCACCAAAAACCAAAUAUAUAUAAUACACCCGUCUAAUUAUAUUAAUACAUCCAUAUAAUUUUAUGUUUGUAUUAAUAUAAUCUCCCUACUAAUUAAUUAUGGUUUGUAGAGAGGGACUUAGCGGGUGCUAAAAGUGGAGCAACCUCUGCAUAGCCAAAUUCCUCUCUCUCCCUCUCUCUCUAAAAUGAGGAAAAAGAAAAUGUACACAUAUAUAUAUGUAUAUUGCAAACUAGCUAGCCAGUAGUAAAUAAAUAUAAUUAAUUUUUUAUUUAAAAUUGGCCGCCCUCGAAGGUCUGGCCGAAUUGCCAGUUGGCCGGGGCGACGUUGUAGCUGGUGAUGGUGCGGCCGUCGCUGGCGGUGACCUGGAAGGAGAGGGACUGGCCGUCGAGGUACGAGUUGCUCUGCCAGUUCUGGCCCCAGUUGCGGGACAUCGGCUGCCACCCCGUGUUCGACCCCUUGAUCGACACAGCGUGCACGUCGCCCGCGCCCGCCACGUUCGUGAUCAGCACCAGGUUGAAGUACGAGUGACCGUUGACGGUGAAUCGGACACCGCCUUUCUUUACGCAGGGCACCCUGCAGUCCCAGAAUUACAAAAGUUAUAAAAAGAGUGGAUUUUGUGACAGAUAUCUGGGCCCAAGAAGAUCACCACAUCCCCAUGUUGAGUCCGGGCCAGAAGUGGACCCAAACCUAGACUAGGACUUGGUCCCACUUAACUACAAAUUUAUGGUACAAAAGAUGUAGUUUAAUAUUUGACAUGAAGCUAGUUUAAUCCAAACCGAGCUAAUUUAGAUUGGGUUCGAGCCAUGGGCUAGCUAAAUAAGUCAACGUAUAUGAUAGUAAAUCUCACCUUCUGUAGGCCACGGGUACGAUUCCCGCACGGUACUGAGCAAUUUGGAGGAAUGCCGGCUCGGCCAUGUCGAAGUGCGGGCGGGGAGGGUUGCACCACCCGCCGUCGUCACUCGGGAGGCCGUAAUUCGGGGGGCAGAAGUUCGUAGCGGUCACUAUGAUCGAGCCAGGCAGGCACCACUGCGGGUCAUCGUCGCACCGCAUCUCGUAGCACGACCCGCAGCUAAGGCCGUCAUUGAACAGCGCGGUGCUCAGGGCUGCGGUGUUCGUCCCGUACCCCUGGCUGUACAAGUUUCCGUACCCGCAAGCCCCUCCUGCAUGAUGCGACAAAUAAAAUCAACACACUUUUCAAAAAAAAAAAAAAAGAAAAAAUAAAGUUACAAGUGUAUUCGUCUUCAGAUGCACGGGGAAUUCUGUCACUGAGGAAUGUCAGAACUAAGAUGUGCAAUUAUAUUUCUGGUCGAAAAUGUUUAAAGAAAUUACCCAUCGUGGCCGGACUCACACCUGGCGCCAGUAAAAUGUCGCGGUGCGCGCCCUGCCUAAAUCGCAAAGAUCCCAAAGCUACCUCAAGAGGAAGAGAAAUGAAGGGAAGAAGAAACAAGAAAAGCCAUAGAAGGAACCAUGACUGUCCAGUUGAGGAUAACUAACAGAGAGAAAGAGCGUUAUAAAGAGGGGGGGCGGGGGGGGGGGGGGGGGGAGGAUUGAAAUUGUGUGGUGUGGGGUUUAGGGCUACUUGGUAGAGGAGAAAAAGAUGAAGGAGAGGGUGCUAGUAAUUGAUAGAAAAGAGAGUGUGGCGGUAGCAGUAUACAUCAGUUUCUAAAAAUAAAAAAAAUUUCCUCUUUUUUUUUCUUUGCUUUUUAAAUAAUUUGUUAUUUUAUUUUUAUUUGUUAUUUUUCAUUUUUAUUUUGUAGAAAAUAGAAGAGACAACUUGGGUGUUCCACAUUGUUGAAAGGGAUUGGAGUAAAUGGGGACAAAAGGGGGAGCACAUGCAAAUGUUUUGGGGGGGUUGGGAGUACCAACCACUAAGGACCCUCAUGUGGGGCCCACUACCUCCCCUCACCCACAUGCACUCUUUCAACAUUUUCCUUUUUUAUUUUAUUUUGUUAUUUUAUUUUAUUUUUUGAAAAAGAAUUAUAGUUUUCUUUUUCUUUUUAAGAUUGAAUAAAAGUUCUCCUCUUGUGUUAUUCACCCAAAUGUGUGAGGGGUUAAGAGUAACUCACAAUGAAGGAGAACUUUUUCCAUUAGUUCAAAAUGUAUCAUCUAGUUUUCGACAGAAAUUAAUAUAAGAUUAUUUUAUAAACAACAAGCUGAUAAGAACAAAUUACAUGGUAGUAAAAUAUUUUAGAAUUUUACUGCGAUAUAGUUUAUAUAAGAGAGUACUGAAUUAUCCUAUCUAUCAAGCGAUUUCUAUCGAAAAAAUUUAAAAAAAAAUUCUGCCUAUGAGACAAAGUCUUUGUUUACUUUGAAUCAAAAGGCAAGUGAAAUUUGCAAAAGCAUUAUGUUGACUAGGGCUUUUUGGAGGUUUUCAUAUAAUUUCGUAAAAAAUAAAAAAUAUAAUACAGUUAGUAAAAACAUAUUUCUUUCAUAAAUGUGAUCAUAAGUUAAUUCUAUGCCUAGUGGAAUAGACUUUAAAUUUUAUUUCAGUCAACUGAAUAUCCACGCUGCUGACUGUUUAAAAAAAAAAGGAGAAGAAAAAUAUUAAAAAAAACUAUAUAUAUGCAAAAUAAUGAAUACACUUUUAUUUUCACUACUAAUUGCCACCAAUUAAGAUCAAUAUCACCAAAAUCUCCAAAUUAUUUACAUUAAUAAUGUGGUCUCAAUUUUCUCUUGCUUUUUUUCAUUUAUAAUAACCCAAUAAAUUGAGGUCCUUGCNCACAAAUAAAAAAAAAAAAAAAAAAAAAAAAAAAGGUUUCAUACACUUGUGAAAUAUUUCCAUCAAAAGUCCUUGUGAGUUGGUUACUCAUGUACUACAUAUACUACCAUUGACUUUGUUUAUAUUAAAGAGUACUAUAUAUGUCAAUAUAUAUACUACAAAUUACAAUAAAAGAACUUUGUUGAAACCGUAUAUGAAUAUCUUUUGGUGAUUCUUUAUCAUAAAUCCAUCCAAAAUAAUUUGUAGUAUUUACACAUUGUAAUUAAUGUAUCUAGCUACAAAAUCUUUAUAUGUUUAUAAAUAUGAAAGAUUUAUAUUUAUUUCAAAUAUUAUUGGCGUGCCAUAUUUGUACAAUUAAUUAAUGAUGUAUUGUACAUUAAUAAACCCUUCUUUUCAAUAAUAUAUAUAUAUAUAGUAAUGUAGAUGCAGUACUUUUUACAGUAAUGUUACUAACUUUUUGUUUUAGAUUAGAAAUGCCUGUAAGUUUUUAUCUUUUUAUAUGAUUUUUAAAACUUUUUUUUUCAAAAAAUACCUUUUGGUGCAUUUUCUACAAAAAUCUAAGAAUAUUUUGGCAGCAAUUUUAACAUUUAUUGUCUUUUUCUUUAAAUAAAAUAUUUCGAGAUUCUACUAAAAGAUGAUAAACACAUUUUCAGUCACAAAACUGUUUUUUGAGAUAUUUUUUAGAAAAAUAAAUUUCUAGUGAAAAAGAAUUUUCACCGGUUUGACUUUUUAGAAAAUAUCUUAGAAAUUAGUUUUCUGGCUGAAAAAAAAAAAAUUGUUUGUCCAGAUUCGAGAAAAAAUAGUUUUCUUAAAAAAUUUUUAGAAAAGUUUUAUUUCUUUUUCUUAUUUUUUAUAUGAAAAACGAAAGCUAUGGAAAAAAUGGUUUUUGUGAUUUUUUUUUUCAGACAAUAAUUUUUCACUAUUUUUUGGAGGAACCAAACAAACCCUAAAUAGACACAUUCUUUUAUCAUACAGUAUGAAUUCUUUUAAAUGUACUUCUUCUUUUUUUUUUUUAAAUCUCUCUCUUAAUUUUCAAACUAUUAUUAUACAUAAUACAAAAGAAUUAGGGGCAUGGUGAUGAGAUCGUGAUUAAUGGACGGCCAUAAAUGGUUGUUGGUUCAAUUAGGUAGUGGCUCACAUGAAGCAAGGGUUUAUUUGGUGGGCAGGUGAUGGGUGCAUGGGAGGUUUGACGAGUAAAUGUGCACUUCAAGCACCAAAUCACUAUUACCCAUUUGCGCUAUAAUUUAGGAUUCGAGCUUUCGACUUUGGGUUUACUUUAUAUAAGUUUCUGGGGGUGUUCGGUGGCCGAUUUUGAGGUAAGAGUUCGAACCUCAGAAUGUGCUAGACUUUGGAAUUGCAAGCACCAAAUCCCUAGUGUCGUAUAAUUUGGGAUUCGAGCUUUCGUUGGGUUUAGUUUAUAUGAGUUUCUGGAGGUGUUCGGUGGCCGAGUUUGAGGUCGGAGUUCGAACCUUAGUAUAUAUGUGCUAAGCUUUAGAAUUUCAAGCCCCAAAUCACGAGUACUCAUUUGUGCUAUAAUUUAAGAUUCGAGUCUUCGACUUUGGGUUUUCUUUAUAUAAGUUUUUCGGGGUGUUCAGUGGUUGAUUUUGACGUAGGAGUUCGAACCUCAUUAUGUGCUGAACUUUGAAAUUUCAAGCGCUAAAUCACUAGUACUCAUUUGUCCUGUACUUCGGAAUUCCAGCUUUCGUUGGGUUCAGUUUAUAUGAGCUUUUUGGAGUGUUCAGUGGCCGAUCUUGAGGUCGGAGUUCGAACCUCAGUACGUGCUAAACUUUAGAAUUUCAAGUGCCAAAUCACGAGUACUCAUUUGUGCUAUAAUUUGGGAUUCGAGUCUUUGACUUUGGGUUUACUUUAUAUUAAGUUUUUGGGACUGCUCAAUGAGCGACCUUGAGGCUGGAGUUCAAACCUCUGUGUGCGCCAAAAUUUGGAAUUUUAAGCGUCCAAAUCACUAGUACCCAUCUGUGUUAAGAUUUGGGAUAUUGAGUCUUUGACUUUGGGUUUGGUUUAUAUACGCUUUUGAAGAUGAUCCGUGACCAAUCUUGAGGUCAGAGUUUGAACCUCCGUGCAUGCUAAAAUUUGGAAUUUGAAGCGUCCAAAUCACUAGUACUCAUCUAUACUAUAAUUUGGGAUUUUGAGUCUUCGACUUUUGAAUUUGAUUUAUAAACAUUUUUGGGAGGCAGACGUUGAGAUCUGAAUUCGAACCUCAGAGUUUGAACCUCCGUGCGUGCUAACAUUUCGAAUUUCGAGCACCAAAUCACUAAUACUCGUCUCUGUUAAAUCUAGGAGUUCGUACCUCGGAGUUCGUACCUCCUACGUUGGGUUUAGUUUAUGCCACUCUUGAUGUCAGAGUUCGAGCCUUCGUAUCUACUAAAAUUUGAAAAUUUUGAGCCUCAAAAUUCAAACUUAUUUUACAUAGGUGGUUGGAAGUGUAUGGGGCCUAUGAGCAGAGUAAAAAGAAAAAAGAAAAUACUAAAUAUAAUUUAGCGUUAGGUGAGUUUUGGGAGUACCAUAUAUGUGUUUAUAUAUGCACGGUACCUGUCCUUUUUCGAUUGAGUCCUCACAACUUUUAAUUAUAAAUAUCAAAUAAUUUUACUCAAAAAAGAUAAAAAAUUUUAUUAAAUACAUUGGUAUGAUUUCAUCAAAUUUAACCCCCCCAAAAUUUCUUUUCUUUUCUUUUUUCUCUUCCCUUAGAGUUGCCGGUAACAGGAUCGCUCAACUAGUACCACCAACGUAGUGCUCCACCAAUCUCCCUGCGCACUAAUGCCUGCGAACAGCAGCGCGGUGCACCGUUUGAGCUAGGUGCAAUAUUAAAAAAUUAAUUAUUUUAAUAUAUGUUAUUAAAUAAUUAAAUCCUUUUUUUCAUUCCACUUUUACAUACCUCUUGGGGAGUUGAUAUCCUCAAAACCCUUUAUCUGGGGAAUCGAAAUUCAACAAUANNUAUAUAUAUAUAUAUAUAUUUAAAACCAUAGUAAAAAAUUUAAAUUGGCGAAUUAAACCUCAUUAAUAAGUCAAAAUCAUCACCAAAAUAUUUACAGUACAUAAUUCAAACUUUUUAGACCAAAAAAUAAUUUUUAAUAUAAAACAGUUUUUAAUGUAUCCCCUUCUAAGUUCUAAUUAAUUAAUUUGGGGACAACAUUAUGAUUUGCAGGAAUAAAACUGGGAGAACCUUAACAUAAUCAGAUGAAUAGUCCACAUCUAACUCCCGCCCCACAAUUAAAUAAUAAAUAAUAAAUAAAUACACACUUGAUUUAUUUUCAAAUUUUAUUUUAUUAUAAAUUUCCCAUUCAAAGUAUUUUAUAUUGUUAAAAUUAAGUCACAAAAGCACAAUUUAAUCGACUAAAUAGUGAUGUGUCGCUAGUGUGAAGGUUACGCGACAGUGUUGUGAUUAAUAACGUGACAAUUGAAACUUAUAAUAAAUUAAAUUUUAGGGUAAACUUUAAAUACCACUUAGGUGGUUUCGCACUUCUCACUUUAGUAUCCUAUUGUUUUCUCUGUUAAUGUUUCGUUAAAUUAUAUAAAAAAAAACUUCAGAUAUCCUGCCUAAGUUUAUCAAAUAUUUAUUUUAGUACUUUUUAAUUUUAACUUUGUCACUAAUUAAAUGAAAAGAAAUUAGUGCAGGAGACAAUAAAAAGAGAAAAAUAAAAUCACGAAGUACUAAAUCGAUACAUUUUAAAUUACAGGAUAUUAAAAUAAAAAAGUGCGAAAACACACGGGUGAAAUAUCUUGCGCUUCAUAGUUUGAGGAACAAGAAGUGUAAUUUAAUAUUUUAAUAUAAAUCAAUAAA